rnacentral:snRNA from 1 species
AUAUUCAUUUGGCAGAGAAGAUACCAUCUUCAUGAAGGUGGUUUUGCCUUGAAGAGUCUCCUCUGUUUCUCUCCAGAAGUGCUGACCUCUGCAAUUUUCCCAAAUGUGGGAAACUUGACUGCAGUACUUGGCAGGGGGGGGGACUGUGUUUGUACUUUCUCUUG